rnacentral:piRNA from 1 species
CUUCCAUUUGGAAUAGAAAGUUGG